CGGGGCCGGCGCGGUCGGCGCGGCGGUCGUCCUGACCGCCUGCGGCGGUGACGACGAGCCGGCGGGUUCCGGCUCCGCGGCCCCGACCA
rnacentral:tRNA from 1 species